rnacentral:sRNA from 1 species
UUGACUCUCAAAUGAUAAUGUUUAUUAUUACCAGUAACUGAUCGCGAGAUCAGCCGGUAAGCUGAGAGCACAAGCGGGCUCUUCAGACUAUCUCCUCAUCAGGCUAAUCACGGUUUUGACCCGGCUCUUGCCGGGUCUUUUUUU